rnacentral:rRNA from 1 species
UACAGAGGGUGCGAGCGUUGUUCGGAAUUACUGGGCGUAAAGCGCGCGUAGGUGGUCUUUUAAGUCCGACUGUGAAGUCCCGGGGCUCAACCCCGUGGGCUGCAGGGGAUACUGGGAGACUGGAGACACGUAGAGGCAAGCGGAAUUCCGGGUGUAGCGGUGGAAUGCGUAGAGAUCCGGAAGAACACCGGAGGCGAAGGCGGCUUGCUGGGCGUGAUCUGACGCUGAGGCGCGAAAGCGUGGGGAGCGAACAGG